CGCCCUUUUCGGCCUUUUUGGGUAAGAUCAAGUGUAGUAUCUUUCUUAUCAGUUUAAUAUCUGAUAUGUCCCCUAUAUGGGGGGGCAAUAUAUUAAAUGGAUUUUUAGCACUGGGAGCUAAAACAGGGGCUUGCCCCGUCACUCCAUGUCAUCGACCCGUAUUGCAGUGCCUCCGGGGACGGUGCACCCUUC